rnacentral:rRNA from 1 species
AUGAUAUUAUUUAAUGGCCGCGGUAUUUUGACUGUGCAAAGGUAGCAUAAUCAUUAGCUUAUUAAUUGUAGGAUAGUAUGAAUGGUUGGACGAGAUAAUAACUGUCUUCAUGUUUAUUUAUGGAAGUUAAUUUUUGAGUUAAAAAGCUUAAAUUUUUUUAAAGGACGAGAAGACCCUAUAGAUCUUUAUUGAUAUUAUUUUAUUUGUUUUUGGUUUAUUUUUUUUUUUGAAAUUUUAUUUUUUUUGUUGGGGNGACNUUUANAUANAAUUAACUCUUUUGUUUUUUUUUCAUUGAUUUUUGUUUAUAUGAUUUUUUAUUAUUUCUUUAANACAUANAUNCCUUAGGGAUAACAGCGUAAUUNUUUUUGANAGUUCAUAUUGACNUUGNANAUUGCNACCNCNAUGUUGAAUUAANAUUAUNUUUUGGNGUAGUANCUUUUUAUAUAGGUCUGUUCNACCUUUAAAUUCUUACAUGAUCU